UAAGCUUAUUAAACAUUAACUGACACAUCCCAAAGGCAGAGAUAGCCGCCAUUUUGAACAUUGGAUGCAUGAACUAACAUGACAAGGAGGAACAAGGAGGAACGUGGAGAAACAUGGCAUGGGCGGUUCAGGAAGAGUGUAACUCAGAUGAUCUGGUCCAAUCCCAGGCUCAGAUUGGGAAACUGAAGCAAAGAAAGGGAAAUCAACUUGUUGUCCAUUUAUGAAUCCAAAUCGGUUGACAGGAGUUACAGGAAGAACCACUCUCUCAUAUAUACAAACCACCUAGGCUAGUCUGGGCCUGGUUCUCUCACCGUAAUUCUGAGGACCAAGUAUAUAUGCCUGGGGUACCCUGGAGAGCUCUUGCCAAGUUAACCUGGAAGUAUUAUUGACUGCACAUGGAGACUAGCCAUCAACAAAGUUAUGAAUUCAUCCAAUUAUAUUACCAUCCAGCUCAUCUCUCUCCAUCCUUUCCACAAGAAUGAGAAAAUUUGCCACUCAG